rnacentral:rRNA from 1 species
CCCUAUGGGGUGCUGGUGGACUUCAUCAGAAAGCUACGAGAGAAUUCGGGGAAGCUGGAGAUCCUGGGCUCAGGAAAGCCACGCAAGUCCUAUCUGGAGGUGAAAGAUUGCAUCCGGGCCAUGAUUCAUGCAGUCGAGCAUUCCUCGGGCGAGGUCAAUGUCUUCAACAUAGGAUCUGAGGACUCGGUGGAUGUCACCGAGAUUGCAGAUAUUGUGGUCGGGCAGAUGGGCCUUGAUAGGGUCGAGUAUAACUACACCGGUGGGAUCGAUGGCCGGGGCUGGAGGGGGGACGUAAAACUGAUGCUUCUCUCCAUUGAGAAGAUCAAAAGGCUGGGCUGGAGUCCAGAGCUGGGAUCGGCCAGGGCCCUGGAAUUGGCGGGGGAGC